ACAAGAAGCUCACCCAGCUGGAACUCUUAUGGGACCUUGGCACCAGAGACCACAAAUUCCUCUUUGAAGUUUUCUAACAGCAACAAUGGUAUUUCUGACUUGGCUUUCUUGUAUUUCUCUCACGUUAACAAAAUUGGUUCAGCAUCUACCAUGGGCUACAUGCUGAGCUACAGAGUUUCGCUCUGUCGCCCAGGCUGGAGUGCAGUGGCGCGCGAUCUCGGUUCACUGCAAGCUCCACCUCCCGGGUUCACGCCAUUCUCCUGCCUCAGCCUCCUGAGUAGCUGGGACUACAGGCGCCCGCCACCACACCCAGCUUGAAAUAACACGGUGCUAAGCAUGGAUUUUUCCACCGAAUGAGGAAAUUCUAAUUCUAAUUGUUAGUCUCUUUAUCAAUGACGCCAAGUGGCAAGGAACAUCACCAUCUUUGGAGACCUAGUGGUGGAGUUAAACUACUACAGGGAAACAACUUUACGUAUAGAGGAGUUGAGCUUCCUAGAGGAAAAGAAGGAAAAUCAUUCCUAAUGGAAGAUCAACUAUUCAAGAAAGAAAGAAGAGCAAUGAGAAAGAAUGUCUCUGACGGCACUUCACUGACAGCUGAAUCAAGGCCAAUUCUAUGCCUCUGAGGAAUGCAGAGCAUACUUCAGGCUCUCCUGUUGCACAACACCCAAGUGAGCACCCAAGUGGUGGCUCUGGACCAAGAAUUGGACUGUUACAGCUACUGCCUACCAACAUAGGGUGUUCUGAGAGACAGGUUACAGCUACUGCCUAUCAACACAGGGUGUUCUGAGAAACAGCAAAGACACUUCGUUUCUGAAAAUGGCGAUCUGAGAACUUUAGAAAUGAACUUGAGAGGAAAA
rnacentral:lncRNA from 1 species